CUGGCUCAGGACGAACGCUGGCGGCGUGCUUAACACAUGCAAGUCGAACGAUGAUGCCCAGCUUGCUGGGUGGAUUAGUGGCGAACGGGUGAGUAACACGUGAGUAACCUGCCCCUGACUCUGGGAUAAGCGUUGGAAACGACGUCUAAUACUGGAUAUGACUGCCGGCCGCAUGGUCUGGUGGUGGAAAGAUUUUUUGGUUGGGGAUGGACUCGCGGCCUAUCAGCUUGUUGGUGAGGUAAUGGCUCACCAAGGCGACGACGGGUAGCCGGCCUGAGAGGGUGACCGGCCACACUGGGACUGAGACACGGCCCAGACUCCUACGGGAGGCAGCAGUGGGGAAUAUUGCACAAUGGGCGAAAGCCUGAUGCAGCAACGCCGCGUGAGGGAUGACGGCCUUCGGGUUGUAAACCUCUUUUAGUAGGGAAGAAGCGAAAGUGACGGUACCUGCAGAAAAAGCACCGGCUAACUACGUGCCAGCAGCCGCGGUAAUACGUAGGGUGCAAGCGUUGUCCGGAAUUAUUGGGCGUAAAGAGCUCGUAGGCGGUUUGUCGCGUCUGCUGUGAAAUCCCGAGGCUCAACCUCGGGCUUGCAGUGGGUACGGGCAGACUAGAGUGCGGUAGGGGAGAUUGGAAUUCCUGGUGUAGCGGUGGAAUGCGCAGAUAUCAGGAGGAACACCGAUGGCGAAGGCAGAUCUCU
rnacentral:rRNA from 1 species